rnacentral:rRNA from 1 species
ACGGGUGAGUAAUGUAUCGGAACGUGCCCAGUAGCGGGGGAUAACUACGCGAAAGCGUAGCUAAUACCGCAUACGCCCUUAGGGGGAAAGCAGGGGAUCGCAAGACCUUGCACUAUUGGAGCGGCCGAUAUCGGAUUAGCUAGUUGGUGAGGUAAUGGCUCACCAAGGCCGCAAUCCGUAGCUGGUUUGAGAGGACGACCAGCCACACUGGGACUGAGACACGGCCCAGACUCCUACGGGAGGCAGCAGUGGGGAAUUUUGGACAAUGGGGGAAACCCUGAUCCAGCCAUCCCGCGUGUGCGAUGAAGGCCUUCGGGUUGUAAAGCACUUUUGGCAGGAAAGAAACGGCGCGUGCUAAUACCAUGCGCAACUGACGGUACCUGCAGAAUAAGCACCGGCUAACUACGUGCCAGCAGCCGCGGUAAUACGUAGGGUGCAAGCGUUAAUCGGAAUUACUGGGCGUAAAGCGUGCGCAGGCGGUUCGGAAAGAAAGAUGUGAAAUCCCAGGGCUCAACCUUGGAACUGCAUUUUUAACUACCGGACUAGAGUAUGUCAGAGGGAGGUGGAAUUCCACGUGUAGCA